rnacentral:rRNA from 1 species
AUAGCUGGUUCUCUCCGAAAUAGCUUUAGGGCUAGCCUCAAGUGAUGAUUAUUGGAGGUAGAGCACUGUUUGGACGAGGGGCCCCUCUCGGGUUACCGAAUUCAGACAAACUCCGAAUGCCAAUUAAUUUAACUUGGGAGUCAGAACAUGGGUGAUAAGGUCCGUGUUCGAAAGGGAAACAGCCCAGACCACCAGCUAAGGUCCCAAAAUAUAUGUUAAGUGGAAAAGGAUGUGGCGUUGCCCAGACAACUAGGAUGUUGGCUUAGAAGCAGCCAUCAUUUAAAGAGUGCGUAAUAGCUCACUAGUCGAGUGACACUGCGCCGAAAAUGUACCGGGGCUAAACAUAUUACCGAAGCUGUGGAUUGUCCUUUGGACAAUGGUAGGAGAGCGUUCUAAGGGCGUUGAAGCAUGAUCGUAAGGACAUGUGGAGCGCUUAGAAGUGAGAAUGCCGGUGUGAGUAGCGAAAGACGGGUGAGAAUCCCGUCCACCGAUUGACUAAGGUUUCCAGAGGAAGGCUCGUCCGCUCUGGGUUAGUCGGGUCCUAAGCUGAGGCCGACAGGCGUAGGCGAUGGAUAACAGGUUGAUAUUCCUGUACCACCUAUAAUCGUUUUAAUCGAUGGGGGGACGCAGUAGGAUAGGCGAAGCGUGCGAUUGGAUUGCACGUCUAAGCAGUAAGGCUGAGUAUUAGGCAAAUCCGGUACUCAUUAAGGCUGAGCUGUGAUGGGGAGAAGACAUUGCGUCUUCGAGUCGUUGAUUUCACACUGCCGAGAAAAGCCUCUAGAUAGAAAAUAGGUGCCCGUACCGCAAACCGACACAGGUAGUCAAGAUGAGAAUUCUAAGGUGAGCGAGCGAACUCUCGUUAAGGAACUCGGCAAAAUGACCCCGUAACUCGGGAGAAGGGGUGCUCUUUAGGGUUAACGCCCAGAAGAGCCGCAGUGAAUAGGCCCAAGCGACUGUUUAUCAAAAACACAGGUCUCUGCUAAACCGUAAGGUGAUGUAUAGGGGCUGACGCCUGCCCGGUGCUGGAAGGUUAAGAGGAGUGGUUAGCUUCUGCGAAGCUACGAAUCGAAGCCCCAGUAAACGGCGGCCGUAACUAUAACGGUCCUAAGGUAGCGAAAUUCCUUGUCGGGUAAGUUCCGACCCGCACGAAAGGCGUAACGAUUUGGGCACUGUCUCAACGAGAGACUCGGUGAAAUCAUAGUACCUGUGAAGAUGCAGGUUACCCGCGACAGGACGGAAAGACCCCGUGGAGCUUUACUGUAGCCUGAUAUUGAAAUUCGGCACAGCUUGUACAGGAUAGGUAGGAGCCUUUGAAACGUGAGCGCUAGCUUACGUGGAGGCGCUGGUGGGAUACUACCCUAGCUGUGUUGGCUUUCUAACCCGCACCACUUAUCGUGGUGGGAGACAGUGUCAGGCGGGCAGUUUGACUGGGGCGGUCGCCUCCUAAAAGGUAACGGAGGCGCUCAAAGGUUCCCUCAGAAUGGUUGGAAAUCAUUCAUAGAGUGUAAAGGCAUAAGGGAGCUUGACUGCGAGACCUACAAGUCGAGCAGGGUCGAAAGACGGACUUAGUGAUCCGGUGGUUCCGCAUGGAAGGGCCAUCGCUCAACGGAUAAAAGCUACCCCGGGGAUAACAGGCUUAUCUCCCCCAAGAGUUCACAUCGACGGGGAGGUUUGGCACCUCGAUGUCGGCUCAUCGCAUCCUGGGGCUGUAGUCGGUCCCAAGGGUUGGGCUGUUCGCCCAUUAAAGCGGUACGCGAGCUGGGUUCAGAACGUCGUGAGACAGUUCGGUCCCUAUCCGUCGUGGGCGUAGGAAAUUUGAGAGGAGCUGUCCUUAGUACGAGAGGACCGGGAUGGACAUACCUCUGGUGUACCAGUUGUCGUGCCAACGGCAUAGCUGGGUAGCUAUGUGUGGACGGGAUAAGUGCUGAAAGCAUCUAAGCAUGAAGCCCCCCUCAAGAUGAGAUUUCCCAACUUCGGUUAUAAGAUCCCUCAAAGAUGAUGAGGUUAAUAGGUUCGAGGUGGAAGCAUGGUGACAUGUGGAGCUGACGAAUACUAAUCGAUCGAAGACUUAAUCAAAA